GCGCGAAACCUCCGCAAUGUGAGAAAUCGCGACGGGGGGACCCCAAGUGCCAUUCUUAACGGGAUGGCUUUUCUUGAGUGUAAAAAGCUUUUGGAAUAAGAGCUGGGCAAGACCGGUGCCAGCCGCCGCGGUAACACCGGCAGCUCUAGUGGUGGCCAGUUUUAUUGGGCCUAAAGCGUUCGUAGCCGGUUUAUUAAGUCUCUGGUGAAAUCCCGUAGCUUAACUAUGGGAAUUGCUGGAGAUACUAGUAGACUUGAGGUCGGGAGAGGUUAGAGGUACUCCCAGGGUAGGGGUGAAAUCCUGUAAUCCUGGGAGGACCACCUGUGGCGAAGGCGUCUAACUGGAACGAACCUGACGGUGAGGGACGAAAGCUAGGGGCGCGAACCGGAUUAGAGACCC
rnacentral:rRNA from 1 species